ACGAAACAAAAUAAAUUUAAAGUUUAAUGUUCAGUCCAAUUAUACAGUCCUGAAAUAAAUAAAUAAAAAAAUACAAAAAUAAAUCCUAUCUAACCUGCACUAAUCCUAUCUACACUUCACGGCUCCACCCGACACCUCGGGCCUUCACUACGAACAUCUUCCAAGUACAAGAUACUUUGGGGCAUUCCCCGGCUAAAUCAAUACAGAUUCUUCGAGGCAUUUCCCGGCCAAAUGUAUACAUUUUUUUAGUGCGAGAUCAACUAUUCAACAAAAUUUCAAACAUUCAGCGAAAUUUCCAACAUUCAACCAAAGCCACUGAUUCUAAACAUUUGCCUACCCAAACUAUUUGCCUAAACCAAUCGACGUAUCAUGAUACUACCAAAUUCAAUUAACAUUCAUUUCAAGUUAUACGAACAAUGAAAUCAAACUAACCAAAAUCACCAAUUAUAUCAAGUUUCCAAUUCUCACCCCCAAAGCCAUUUUUAACCACAUGAUUAGCGCAUCCUUCUAUUAUCCAUUCACGUCUCAAAAUCCAAAACCAAUCAUUGAUGCAAACAACCAAUGAAGAUUCAAAAUAAGCACACAACACAUAAAUCAUCCACACCUACAACAUCAAUAAAGAAUAAAAAAUAAGGUAAAGAUCGGGAGAAGAAAUGGACCUUUGAGGAAUCAAUUACAUUGACAAUAAUGUUUAAGAAAAUCAAAUUCGAGAGCCCGAAUGGAAAACCUUAACGGCGAUGAAAUCCCAACUCGGUAUAGAGACACCACAAUUCGAGACUGACCACGACAAGAUGACUGAGACCAACAGUGUAUGAAUUCCCUCAAACCAGUGCUAAAACCAAAGGACCAAAACCAAAAACCCCAUUCGAGCAAACCAAACCAGUAUGCAAAAGUUAUCGCAAAAUCGAUUCAAAAUAGAGACGAACGAGUGAGCGUUGGUUCAAUCAACGAUGAGAACCCCGAAGCUAAUAAUGAAUUUUGGCAAAAAGUUCACUGUUUUCGGCCAGAUUCAACAAAAACUAAUGAAAAACGAAGAAGAUUUUGAGAAAUUUCAACACUUUGGUGGAUUUUUGAACCUGUAAUACCUGGAUUCGACUAACAUAGACAGUUACGGUGAUGGAUUCACCGGAAAAGCUCAAACCCUCUAUUCUUCCUCUCUCUCUUCGUCGCUCUUUCUCUCUCUAUUCUAUGUGUGUAUGUGUGUGCGCCAUUUUUUGUAUGCUGUCUCAGAAAAAAAGAAAAAUCACGUUACUUCAUCUAAGAAGAAGAAAAAUGACAUCACUUUUUGCUCAAGAUGAUGAUCCCAAAAACCCGCUCCCCUUUCUCUCUCCCUG
rnacentral:lncRNA from 1 species